rnacentral:tRNA from 1 species
GCGACCGAAGCUCAACUGGUGAGAGCGAUGAAGCACCGCUCUGGAGGUUGCGGGUUCAAGUCCCGCUGGCUGUC